rnacentral:rRNA from 1 species
UACGUAGGGGGCAAGCGUUGUCCGGAAUCAUUGGGCGUAAAGCGCGUGUAGGCGGUCCGGUAAGUCCGCUGUGAAAGUCGGGGGCUCAACCCUCGGAUGCCGGUGGAUACUGUCGGGCUUGAGUACGGAAGAGGCGAGUGGAAUUCCUGGUGUAGCGGUGAAAUGCGCAGAUAUCAGGAGGAACACCAAUGGCGAAGGCAGCUCGCUGGAACGGUACUGACGCUGAGGCGCGAAAGCGUGGGGAGC